CACAUUGAGUCAGGUGCUUCUAAUUUGGCAUCGAUCACAUGACACUUGAGUACGACUUUCCCUUUGCCGGGGAUCUUUCAGUGUAACACCGAUAAAACGCGUCCGCUUCGUGCAGAAUCCGUAGCGAAACUGAUUUGCCGACGAAACCUAAUGCUCGCACAGAGCCGGGCUCUGGCUUUCCACCAACAACAAUAAGGGAAAAUCUAACGAAUGGGAAGUGCUGUUACGUAUACGCCGCGUUGGCCGAGUGAUAACAGGCGGGGACGAGCCGACGGCCGACAGAGCGAGCCGAAGUGUAGCUUCGGUUUAAGCCAACCAAAGGACGCUGGAUGCUGUUCAUUGGUAGUUGUUGCUGCCGGUUGCUGGUUAUGUCCGGUAUCCUUGUUAUGUUCGGAGGCUUGUUGUUUGCGUGCAACCGCAACCACAACAACAGACCGCAAAACACGCGACAAAAAUGUUAACAGAGUCCAACCUGCAACACCAUGCCCCAAAAUCACCUCUCAAAGUUCGAGUUGCAUGCCGAUUCCGCCGUCGAACCUUUUUGGCUCGUUCCGGCUGAAGCUGUACCCUUUUAAU
ensembl:ncRNA lncRNA:CR44483 long non-coding RNA:CR44483